rnacentral:tRNA from 1 species
AGCUUUGUGCGUAACGCCCUUGGCACCGGGACGCUUUUGGCGUUUCCGGGGAGUAUGUUCGGCGCGCUCGCCGUGGGGUUCGCCGCAAAGUUU